rnacentral:rRNA from 1 species
UACGUAGGGUGCGAGCGUUAAUCGGAAUUACUGGGCGUAAAGUGUGCGCAGGUGGCCGCGCAAGUCGGAUGUGAAAUCCCUCGGCUCAACCAAGGAAGUGCAUCCGAAACUGCUGAGCUUGAGUACGAAAGAGGAUCGCGGAAUUCCCGGUGUAGAGGUGAAAUUCGUAGAUAUCGGGAGGAACACCAGUGGCGAAGGCGGCUUCCUGGCCUGUUCUUGACGCUGAGGCGCGACAGCAUGGGGAGCAAACGGG